rnacentral:rRNA from 1 species
UACGUAGGGGGCAAGCGUUGUCCGGAAUCAUUGGGCGUACAGAGCGUGUAGGCGGCCAGAUAAGUCCGCUGUGAAAACUCGAGGCUCAACUUCGAGCUGUCGGUGGAAACUAUUUGGCUAGAGUCCGGAAGAGGAGAGUGGAAUUCCUGGUGUAGCGGUGAAAUGCGCAGAUAUCAGGAAGAACACCCGUGGCGAAGGCGACUCUCUGGUACGGAACUGACGCUGAGACGCGAAAGCGUGGGGAGCAAACAGG